rnacentral:rRNA from 1 species
AGAUUGAACGCUGGCGGCAGGCCUAACACAUGCAAGUCGAGCGGUAGAGAGGUGCUUGCACCUCUUGAGAGCGGCGGACGGGUGAGUAAUGCCUAGGAAUCUGCCUAGUGGUGGGGGAUAACGUUCGGAAACGGACGCUAGUACCGCAUACGUCCUACGGGAGAAAGCGGGGGACCUUCGGGCCUCGCGCCAUUAGAUGAGCCUAGGUCGGAUUAGCUAGUUGGUGAGGUAAUGGCUCACCAAGGCGACGAUCCGUAACUGGUCUGAGAGGAUGAUCAGCCACACUGGAACUGAGACACGGUCCAGACUCCUACGGGAGCAGCAGUGGGAAUAUGGACAAGUGGGCGCAAGCCUGACUCCAGCCAUACCGCGUGGGUGAAGGAAGGCCUUCGGUUAGUAAAGUCCCUUUUGGUUAGGAAAGAAAAGCAUUACGGUUAAUACCGGUAGUUC